AGAACGAACGCUGGCGGCAGGCCUAACACAUGCAAGUCGAACGCUCGUAGCAAUACGGGAGUGGCGCACGGGUGAGUAACGCGUGGGCACCUGCCCGGUGGUUUGGGAUAACCGUGGGAAACUGCGGCUAAUACCGGAUACGCCCCUAGGGGGAAAGAUUUAUCGCCAUCGGAUGGGCCCGCGUAGGAUUAGCUAGUUGGUGAGGUAACGGCUCACCAAGGCGACGAUCCUUAGCUGGUCUGAGAGGAUGAUCAGCCACACUGGGACUGAGACACGGCCCAGACUCCUACGGGAGGCAGCAGUGGGGAAUAUUGGACAAUGGGGGCAACCCUGAUCCAGCCAUGCGCGUGAGUGAAGAAGGCCUUCGGGUUGUAAAGCUCUUUUGGCGGGACGAGUGAUGACGGUACCCGCGAGAAUAAGACCCCGGCUAACUUCGCGCCAGCAGCCGC
rnacentral:rRNA from 1 species